rnacentral:rRNA from 1 species
AUUGAACGCUGGCGGCAGGCUUAACACAUGCAAGUCGAGCGGAGAUGAGGUGCUUGCAUCUUAUCUUAGCGGCGGACGGGUGAGUAAUGCUUAGGAAUCUGCCUAUUAGUGGGGGACGACAUUCCGAAAGGAAUGCUAAUACCGCAUACGUCCUACGGGAGAAAGCAGGGGAUCUUCGGACCUUGCGCUAAUAGAUGAGCCUAAGUCGGAUUAGCUAGUUGGUGGGGUAAAGGCCUACCAAGGCGACGAUCUGUAGCGGGUCUGAGAGGAUGAUCCGCCACACUGGGACUGAGACACGGCCCAGACUCCUACGGGAGGCAGCAGUGGGGAAUAUUGGACAAUGGGGGGAACCCUGAUCCAGCCAUGCCGCGUGUGUGAAGAAGGCCUUAUGGUUGUAAAGCACUUUAAGCGAGGAGGAGGCUACUGAGACUAAUACUCUUGGAUAGUGGACGUUACUCGCAGAAUAAGCACCGGCUAACUCUGUGCCAGCAGCCGCAGUAACAC